GCGCCCGUAGUUUAAUGGAUAAAAUGGGGGAUUCCGGUUCCUCUGAUGGCGGUUCGAUUCCGCCCGGGCGUA
rnacentral:tRNA from 1 species